rnacentral:SRP_RNA from 1 species
GCCGGGCACAGUGGCGCGUGCCUGUAAUCCUGCUGUCUGGGAGGCUAAGGCUGAGGAAUCGCUUGAGUCCGGGAGUUCUAGUCUACCCUGAGCCAUGUUGAUCGGCUGUCCGGGCUAAGUUCAGUAUCAAUAUGGUGUUCCUGGGGGAGCUUGGGAAUCACCAGGUUGUUUAAAGAGUUGUGAACUGAUCCAGGUUGGGAACGGAGCAGGUCAAAGCCCCUGUGCUGGUCAGUAGUGGGAUAGCACCUGAGAAUGGUCAGUGUAGAACAGCCUGGGCAAUAAAGUGAGAUGCAGUCUUUU